AAUCAACGCUGGCGGCGUGCCUCAGACAUGCAAGUCGAACGAUUAAAGCUCUCUUCGGAGAGUGUAUAGAGUGGCGCACGGGUGAGUAACACGUAAGUAAUCUACCUUCGAGUGGGGAAUAACGUCCGGAAACGGACGCUAAUACCGCAUAAUGCAGCGGCAUCGCAAGAUGACAGUUGUUAAAGAUUUAUCGCUUGAAGAGGAGCUUGCGGCAGAUAGCUAGUUGGUAAGGUAAUGGCUUACCAAGGCUACGAUCUGUAACCGGUCUAAGAGGACGGUCGGUCACACUGACACUGAAUAACGGGUCAG
rnacentral:rRNA from 1 species